rnacentral:rRNA from 1 species
AUGGUGUUCAUUGACUUGGAGAAGGCCUAUGAUAAGAUACCGCGGAAUGUCAUGUGGUGGGCCUUGGAGAAACACAAAGUCCCAGCAAAGUACAUUACCCUCAUCAAGGACAUGUACAAUAAUAUUGUGACAAGUGUUCGAACAAGUGAUGUCGACACCGAUGACUUCCCGAUCAAGAUAGGACUGCAUCAGGGGUCAGCUUUGAGCCCUUAUCUUUUUGCAUUGGUGAUGGAUGAGGUCACAAGGGGUAUACAAGGAGAUAUCCCAUGGUGUAUGCUCUUUGCGGAUGAUGUGGUGCUAGUUGACGAUAGUCGGACGGGGGUAAAUAGGAAGUUAGAGUUAUGGAGACAAACCUUGGAAUCGAAAGGGUUUAGGCUUAGUAGAACUAAAACCGAGUACAUGAUGUGCGGUUUCAGUACUACUAGCUGUGAGGAGGAGGAGGUUAGCCUUGAUGGCCAGGUGGUACCUCGGAAGGACACCUUUCGGUAUUUGGGGUCAAUGUUGCAGGAGGAUGGGGGUAUUGAUGAAGAUGUGAACCAUCGAAUCAAAGCCGGAUGGAUGAAGUGGCGCCAAGCUUCUGGCAUUCUCUAUGACAAGAGAGUGCCACAAAAGGUAAAAGGCAAGUUCUAUAGGACGGCGGUUCGACCCGCAAUGUUGUAUGGCGCGGAGUGUUGGCCGACUAAAAGGCGACAUGUUCAACAGUUAGGUGUGGCGGAGAUGCGUAUGUUGAGAUGGAUGUGUGGCCACACGAGGAAGGAUCGAGUCCGGAAUGAUGAUAUACGAGAUAGAGUUGGGGUAGCACCAAUUGAGGAGAAGCUUGUCCAACAUCGUUUGAGAUGGUUUGGGCAUAUUCAGCGCAGGCCUCUAGAAGCUCCAGUGCAUAGCGGACGGCUGAAGCGUGCGGAGAAUGUCAAGAGAGGGCGGGGUCGACCGAUUUUGACAUGGGAGGAGUCCGUUAAGAGAGACCUGAAGGAUUGGAGUAUCGACAAAGAGCUAGCUAUGGACAGGGGUGCGUGGAAGCUUGCUAUCCAUGUGCCAGAGCCAUGA